rnacentral:lncRNA from 1 species
CUUAGAUCCAGCUGUGGAGGACAUCUCCCUGCUCGAUCAAAUUUGGAGGAUGAAGCAGUUCUUCCUCAAGACUUCCUUGCUGAAUCCGGUGGUGGAAGAGAUCUCCCUGAAAGUCCAAAAUUGGCAACUGCCACCAUGAUCAGGGGAGUUUUCUUCUUUCCCUUCUUCCCCUUUUCCUACUUGAAUUGCACUUGUCCUUGAUCUGUUGACUGUUUUGAUUUCUGAUUUGAUGCUUGUGACACAUUGAGGACACUGUGUAGUUUAAGUGUGGUCUAUUGGGGGAGAUUCUGAUUUUUCUUUGAUUAGUUUAUGUUUUUUGCGUUAAAUUUUUUUCUUUUCUAGGUAGGUUUUUUUUGUGUCUUGUAUACAGUCUUGCAUAUUUCUCUUGAUUUCUGGACUUUGUUUAGGUUGUCAGUUUUUCCUUCACUUCAUUGAUACUCUGAUUUGUUGGAUAUCCUUGCUUUUCUGUGCUUGGAAAGAUUAUUAUGAUGUUUGAGAGGGUGAUUUGAUUGUGACAGAAAUGCCCUGUGUGAGAUUUGAGCCACUUAAUAUUCUUUCUUGUGUGUGAUAUGUCUCUUGAUUGCUUGCACAUAUGCCUUGGCUUGACUCUUUUUGAUGAUUCUUGAUUGAUAUGCAUGUUUGGAAGUGAUAAAGGCAAUUUUGUUGUUGAGCCUCUUUAGCCAGAUGAGCCUACCUUGUUGUGAUCCAUUGAUAGCCCCUUUGAGCCUUUACUUUCCCCAUUUCUUUGUUUUGAAGCUCAUACACUGGCCCU